ACUGCAUCACAGAGCUAACGCGGAAAUUGAAAGCCAGUGGAAUAUGGUUCUAUAGCAAUGAGAAAUGUUGCACGGACAUGACACAGCUCAGCAAAUACUGCGGUCCACUUUUGGAGUAGUUAUUCUUGAACUGAAGGGUUUAAACUCCGACAACUCUAACCAGGUCUGCCUACAGGAAGAAUCGCAUAACUGCUAGCAACUUUGGUCGUGUAUUGGCUGCAGUUGGACACAACUCUUACCCUCCCUCCCUCUAGUACACAUGCAUCACUGGCCAGCCUGGAUCCCCACCAGGACUUGGACUCUCUCCAAGUGGUGUUCUUGGAGCUUCACCAGAUGGAAUCACCGUUGCCGGAUCUUUCGUUGUGGUCAAGUGACCCUGGUCAGCCAGACAUAAAACACCCACCACAGCAAGUGGCUGAGAAGAAGGACUUUUAUUUGACUAAAGAUGAGGUUACUGGUUUAUUGAAGCUAAAAAGGGACCAUGCUUACUGCCACCAUAUACAGGGUUAUAUGUACUUGGUGGGGUGUGACAAGUGUGACUUUGUAGUGUGGACUCUUAAGGGCACAGAAAUUGUUCCUGUCAUAACCCAUCCUGGGCUUCUAACCUGGAUGUAAUUCACACAUUUUACAAAACUGUUUUCCUGCCAAAUGUUUUAGACGAUUUUUUAAAAUGUCAGUCUGGAUAUAUGUUUAAGA